UAUUUCCCAGCUUCAACGACUGGUUUAGGAAUGAACACAUGAUCCGAGCCAGGGAUCUGUGGAGCCCCAACUCUGAUCCUAGGCCCAACGUGAUUGGGCCCUAAAAAAGAAGCAACAUCUGCAGGACCUCUGCUCUUUGCCGGGCACUUGAAGCUCAUGAUCACCUUGGACUCUGUGCUAUGAGUAAUAUCACCACCAUUUUACAGACGAGGAAACUGGAGUGAGGCUCAGAGAAAACACAGAAGCGACUUAGGGGCCCCCACAAGCUGGGCCUCUUGCCUUGCAUGACUCCAGGAGGCACCAUUCACUGUGCAUUCUGAGUUCGACCUUUACCGAG